rnacentral:rRNA from 1 species
UGGGGAAUAUUGCACAAUGGGCGAAAGCCUGAUGCAGCGACGCCGCGUGAGGGAUGACGGCCUUCGGGUUGUAAACCUCUUUCAGUAGGGACGAAGCGCAAGUGACGGUACCUGCAGAAGAAGCACCGGCUAACUACGUGCCUGCAGCCGCGGUAAUACGUAGGGUGCGAGCGUUGUCCGGAAUUACUGGGCGUAAAGAGCUCGUAGGCGGUUUGUCACGUCGUCUGUGAAAUCCUAGGGCUUAACCCUGGACGUGCAGGCGAUACGGGCUGACUUGAGUACUACAGGGGAGACUGGAAUUUCUGGUGUAGCGGUGGAAUGCACAGAUAUCAGGAAGAACACCGAUGGCGAAGGCAGGUCUCUGGGUAGUAACUGACGCUGAGGAGCGAAAGCAUGGGUAGCGAACAGG